UGCCUAACGCUUGACGUUAUCCGUAUCCGAUGAGAUGAAGUCAAGUUUCGCGCCGGAAGAUAACGGCUGGGAGUAAAAAUUGCGAUUUCAGCAUUGGAGAUCCUCUAAGUCCUACUUAUCACCAAUCAAUUACCUCAAAUGAAAAGUUACCUCGCCAUUAUUGCUCAAAAAGACUGGAAGGAGUCCUGUUGAGGAUUUAGAUUCCUCCUCUUUUGAAAAGUGCAACCGAUUGAAGUUAUAAAGGGCUCUGGGGUGUUUUGCCAGGCAGAAGUGUGGAAAGCAGCCCUCCUUGCCACCUCUGCUACUGCCAUGGUGUGGAAUCUGCUGCUGGGCACAUUUGAUCUGGAGACUUUGCUGAAAAACAACCUGAAUGGUGGGAAGCCAACCAGAGGGGAUGGGGAGCAGCUGGUCGCCCUUGACCAAAUUAAAAAGGCAUCAUUAUUGAUGCUACAUUGAAGAAGUGGCCGUCAGCCAGCCGAGGGGAGAUGGGCACGUCUAUCAAUUCAAAGCUCAUGGAGC